UUUUCCCCUCCUCUGAUCACAUCCUUCAAAGAGAGUAUUAUUUACCUCAGGUUUACUGGACAAAAUCAAUAAUGAUAACAAUGUACAUUUUUGUUUUCAUGAUACCUCAUAGCUACACAGUUUCUGUUUGGAAGGCCGCUACCAGGAGGCACAGAGCGAGGGCAGGCAGAAGCUGGGCACCCUCCUAGGUAGAAGGUAGAAGGGAUCUUUCCUGUCUCGAAGGUCACCAGGCUCCCCCUUUGACUCAGGCUCCCUGCUCAUGGUAAAAGAGCACGCUGAAGGAAGGGCUCCUCCGUACAAGGCAGAUGCUCAGCAAACACAGUGAACUAGCUAAGCCUGAUUUGCAUGCAGUCACCGGAAUCAGCAAUCAAGAAUUCGGGCAGACUGUUAGGAGACACACACACACACACACACACACACACACACACACACACACACCCAUCAGAAACAGGACUUUCUUCUUUAUAGUGCCCCUUCACCAUGGAAGUUGACCAGUUUACUUCUUGACACUUAGGACACCCCAACUUAGGACAGUCUUCCUAGGACUGAGUCUGCAGCACACAUUUCUCACUCCUCCACCGUGGCAGGCAGGUGCUGAGAAAGGGACACGGCGUCUGUGGGUGGCGUUGAACGGCUUCAGGUUUUGAAUCCCAUUGAGUGGGCCAGAUAGAAAGCGCAGGUUGAAUGAGUUUGGGAUGCAUGUUGAAAGGGAGCGAGAGGCCGUUCCUCUGGUCUCGAGUGUAUUUAGAAAGGAUCAGGACUCGGUGUAAAAGUUAGCAUGACCCUAAAAUUCUAGGGAGUUUGUGGUGGAACCAUGGGUGAUGAAUCGGGAAGUAGGGUAGGGGGAAAGGAGAGAGGCCUGCAGCUAGCCAGCGUUGAUCCAGUGUGGCUGUUCUGCCUCCUCUUUGCUUAUGCAAGGGAAGGGAGCCUGGAUUCUUUGGUGGCCGAUACCCUCUGCUUAGAUUUGGAUCUCCUUGGUAGUAUUUUUGUCCCAGAGGGUAUAAAUAACCCUGGGGAUUUCAGCUUGCUCCCCCUUCACAUCCUACAAAAGGGAUUGCAGACUCUGGUCUUUUUCUGCCUUUGUUAAUGAGCUCUUGGUGGUUUUUUGUUUUGUUUUGUUUUUCAUUUUGUCUUGUUUUUCUUUUGUCAUCAUUGUUGUUUGUUCUUUCUCCAUCUGUGGGGGCUAAGUUGUUCCCCAAGCCUGCCAAAUUUUGGUCCUUCCCUGUUUUGACCAAAUCCUAAGGGGGAGAAAACCCUAGUAUGCCAAAAAAUAACAUGCUAAGCAUUAGGAGAUUCCUAACAGUCCCUUAAUUACCAGACAGCCUGUGAGAGGACAAAGGCUGACCAUCCACCUGUGCUGAGUAGCUAGCUCCUUCUAGAAGGGAUAGCGUUUAGAAGUUGCUUUGGUUUGAACUGUCCCCAGGAUGCCACAGAAGAGCAGGGCACAUCUUGGAGGCGGCUAGGGCAAGUUGUGUGCCUACCAAGAUAGACUCCCCUAGCAGCUAGACAGGCUGGGAGUAUAUGUAGCUGUCCUGGAUCCCCUUCUGUUGCUAGCAGGAUAAGUGACCACUCAGAGGGAGCUUAAUAGUUUUCUUAUAGUCUAGCUCUUUGGGGGACCUACCAUUCUGUGCCUUGAGAGCUGUAGGACCAACAGACUAAGAUUGGAUGGCUUUCACAAAGAGAGCAGAUGAGCUUUCUCUACGUGGGUGGGCUGUGGGGACAGGACUGGGAGGAUCACACUUGUACCUUAUGUCCUGUAAAUCCUGAUUUUCUAGUUCAAGAGGGUAUACCGGUGGUGCGGAAACUGGAGGUAGCAAUAAGAAGUCUUAAGUAAGCAGCUGACUUCUAAGCCCAAAGGGUUCCUCUUUGCUUAUCUUAGACAGUCAAACCUUGGGAAUAGCUUUAAAAGGGAAAUGAAUACCAAGUCAGUGAAGUCCCCGUAAGUCAACAAGGCCCGCCAUAGGUUCACAUUGCACACAAGCUUUUAUCGGUGCAGACUCUGGGUGGUUGUGAACAACUGCAGCUCACACAUCCAUUUGUACAAAAUCAGGUAGGAAGAUCCAGGAGGUGUUGGGACUUCCUUACCACAUGUGGCCUUUGAUGAUUCUAGAGUCUAAACAGAAGAGGCGCUUGAGCCAGAACCUGUGCCAUUCUGCUUUGAAACUUGCCUGGGCCAUCAGACCCAUGAUUGGCUCCAGCUUUAAGAAGCCAUCAACAAAUACACUUGAUGGAGCUGCAGACUUUGCCUGCAGCCCACUUGUGGGGGAGAAGUGCCUUACUGACCGUAGCCAUUACAGUAGCCACUCCAUUUCAACAGGUGCCUAUCUUUGACAAAAAACAAAACAAAACAAACAAACAAAAACACACACACACACACACACACAUUAAAAAGUUCUCUUAAGUUUCAUUGGCUGUCAUUCUUAGGCUGAUCAUCUUGUGUGUCCCCAGCAAGUCACCAGGCCAUUGAAUUGUCUCCAUUAUUAUCCUUCUGCCAUGUACCUCAGAUCUAUCAGUUUCGAUCUCUUGUCUUGGAUUAUUUUCUUUCUUUCUUUUUUUUCUUUUUUAAUUUGCUUUAAGAGUGUGAUACCAUAUGAAAUCAAUGUUAUUCUCUCACAGUGUACUCUAUAACAGGUGUGGGUGGUUUUUAUGGUUGGGAUACUAGAAAAUGCUAAAGUAGCAUGAUCAGUAUGAACAAAAAUAAAAACAAAAAAAAAAGGUCUUUAGGAAAUCCGGGGUGGGGUGGGGGGACACAUUGUAUUGACCAUGAUGACGAUGUCACAUAGUCAGCUGUUAAGUUUUGAUGUGAUCUUAAAAGAAUAACGUGUUCUGACUAGUUUGAAGUCGGAUUUGAGGAUGGAGUUGUAAGUGGUUUUGAAUGCAAUUAGGUUAUGCUAUUUGGACAAUAAACUCACUUUGACCUAAAAUGUCUGGCCAUUGUUGACUUAUUUCUAGACUGGUGAUCCUCAGACUGGAAUACACCUGUCCUGAGACAGAACUCUGUUGGCAACAGUUGGUAACCAUAUAAAAUACAAAUCAUAAGCCAGAAGAGAAAUCACAUCUAUGUCUUCACAAUUCAGGGAAUUGUUGACUCCCCCUGCUCUCCUCUGAACCUUAAAUAUAGCCAGAUACAAGUAGAAACAGCCCAGUCUCUUCAUGAGGUGGCUGAGGUAAUCAUGGUAUGACAGGCCUUCCAUGACAGCCCCUCACUUUGGUCAAAUACUCACUCUCUUGCCUGUGAGUGAGUGCCUCGUGGUAUGGGUGCCAGAAACCCAGUGCCAUCUCUAGAUUCUGGGGUGUCUCCAGGGAUGCCCAGCCUCAGCCAUGUGGCUUCUGUCUCAUGUUCCUAGAAGUUCCCAUACAAUGUCUGGCCCUCUCUGAGUCUAUCAUUUGAAUCCUAGUCCUCAAAUGCCUUGGUGAAGGCUGGUGAGGUAAAGCCUGGCAGAUGGGAUAGCCAGUUAUCACCUUAACAUGGACGAUUGUCAGGUCCUGGUCCUCACCAGUCUUGGACAAGCCAGUUAGGAGAAUGGUGUCCUAGGAAGGAUGGGCAUGUAGAGCACGAAGCCUAACGACUGUUUUGAUAUUACCAUAGAAAUUCAUUUUCCCUGUCAUUGCCUGCUCUUUCAAAGGAAGAUGAUUUCCCAGUUUCUUUCUGACCUAAAUUGUAAACAGUAAGAUUAAAACUGGUCAUCAGACAAGUCCCGGGUAAGAUGCUCUUACCGAUGUCUAGAACUUACAUUUACUACUGCUGUAACAAAAGACUUGAAUCUGGGUUUUGAGGAAGAGAAAACUGGGACAUCUGUGAGUAUGUAUGUGCUCACCAAUGGGUGAGGGCUGCCUUUGCUGUCUCUUCAGUGUAGGGUACCACAUGGUAAGACAGCAAACACUCCAGUUUGGGCCUCCUGAAGAGCCCUACACUGUGCCAUUCUGCUUUGAAACUUGGCUGGGCCAUCAGACCCAUGAUUGGCUCCAGCUUUAAGAAGCCAUCAACAAAUACACUUGAUGGAGCUGCAGGAUUUAAUUAGAUCCUAAAAUUUUCCCAUGGGUCACAUGUCCAAAUAGCAUGAAUGUAUCAAUUUGAGAAUUAAGUUUCUAACCCGUGGAAUUUUAUACUGAACUCCCAGCAGUGUGAUGGCUGCAAGGAUGCUACAAGUUCUCUUCUGCCCCAUUUCCCUUGACAUCUACUCUUUCUAGAGAUAGCAGGGGUACUGGUUUUCUUAAGUCCGUUGACAUCUGGGAGUCUCUACAGUCUUGUGUGAGCAUUCAUAACCAUUCUUGGAGUUCACUUCUACGGGACCCAUUGUGAGGUGAGUUCCCUCUCUCCACCCAUCUGCCGCUCAGAAGUACUGGUGUUGUGUCUGCCAGUGGCUGUAGUUCAUGGGCCAUUUGGUAGCAUCGUUGGCUUUCUUUCAGAGCAAUAGGUGUUUAGAGAAAGACAAAACCAAUAAAGCAAGUGCAACGUUCUCCAUAGCUCUUGGGAAAUCACCCACUGCCAUGAACAGUCUACAGAGCUGCUGGGGAAGCCUCCCACUGCCCCGGACAAGCUCUUAUCAGCUUAACACCUGGAAAACCUCAGACUUCUGACCAAGGUGAAGACUAGAAUCUUCCAAUCUUACUAACGAGUGCUCUUGUAUUCUUUCUUUAUAAAAAAAAAUGUAUAUGGGGUUUUGCCUGCACCAUAUACAUGUGGUGCCUACAGAGGCCAGAAGAGGGCUGUGGUCCCCUGGAACUGGAGUUGCAGAUGGUUGUGAGCCACCAUGUGUGAGCUGAGAACUUAACCUAGGUCCUCCAGAAGAGAACACCUGAGCCAUCUCUUCGGCCCUUUGUAUUUCUUUUUUGUUUUUGUUUGUUUGUUUUGAGUCAGGGAUUUUAUUAUUUAGCCCUGACUGUCCUGGAACUCACAGUGUAGACCAAGCUGGCUUCAAACUCAUGGAGCUUUGCCUGCCUCUGCCCCUCCAGUGAGGUGGUUAAAGGCGUGCGCUACUACACAAGGCUUGCUUUUGUAUUUCAAGAUACUUUUUAGACACCCAAAACAUCCGUGAGUGCACAGGGGUAGCAACAAAAUAAGAACUGCAGUUAGCUUAGCAGCGGAGUUCCUAACAUCUUUUCAUGAAGCAAGCAUCUCACCACUUCAUAGGAGGCCGUGUCGUUUUCACUCUGGGGCUGUGGGAUGGACAAUGGCAUGGG
ensembl:lincRNA